AUACGGAGGGUGCAAGCGUUAUUCGGAAUCACUGGGCGUAAAGGACGCGUAGGCGGGUUGGCAAGUCAGAUGUGAAAUCCUACAGCUUAACUGUAGAACUGCAUUUGAAACUGCUAACCGAGAGUAUGGGAGGGGGAGAUGGAAUUAGUGGUGUAGGGGUAAAAUCCGUAGAUAUCACUAGGAAUACCGAAAGCGAAGGCGAUCUCCUGGAACAUAACUGACGCUAAGGCGUGAAAGCGUGGGGAGCAAACAGGAUUAGAAACCCUAGUAGUCC
rnacentral:rRNA from 1 species